GCAUCAGCGAAACUUUUCUCUAGAUAUGGAUCCAAAGUUGUGAUUGCAGACAUUCAAGACGACUUGGCACAAAAUGUUUGCAAAGAUUUGGAUCCAUCAUCAACUACCUUUGUGCAUUGUGAUGUUACAAAAGAGGAAGACUUAGAAAAUGUUGUGAACAUUGUUGUAGACAAGUAUGGCAAGCUAGACAUCAUGUACAAUAAUGCUGGUAUUAUGGGAGCAGUCAAAUCCAAUA
rnacentral:misc_RNA from 1 species